CACUGCCCUUCAUGUUUAAAUACAAAAUCACUGAUCAUGUGGCUUCAUGUAGCCUUCUGGCAACAGCUUACGGGCCCUUUUAAACUGGAUACAUUAGGUCUGUUCCCUGGUAAGACUCUGGCCCCUGAGACUGUCACUUUUGAAAUUCCUGCAGUGUUAAAAGCCUGAGUCUCCUUUCACAAUUAGCCAGCAAUUCCAUAAGAAAAUAGCACUGAAGGUUUCUGAGCCUGUUUCCUCAAAGGAGAUGCGAGUUCUCACCUUCCAGGGCUGUUCUGAGGAGGGAAAGUGGCACAUCAAUAGGCACACCUGCAGAGUGUCUGGGAUGAGCCUGGCGUGUGCUCGCUGACUGCCAAGGUGACGUAGUGCCAAGUACAAUGCCGGACACAUGGUAUUCAAGACCCAAAUACUGAACUGAACCCAAAGUGUGAGAACUUUUUGGUCGAGAAAGGAGAUAUCUUGUGAAUAUAAGAAUGAAAGGAUUAUAUGCUUCUCUCUAGGGUAGAGCCCCUGGAUAGCCUCAGAUGGAGCUGGUUGACCAGCAGGAAGACCAAGUGACUAGAAGGAUGGAACUUUCAGCACCACCUACCCACCUCCAGGAAGCGGGGUGGUGGGAGAUGGAGCCCUAUAAAAACUCUUCUUCAGUGACAUUCAGACAGCUUCCGGGUUGGUGAAUACAUGGAGGUGCUGAGAGGGUGGAGUGCCCAGAGACGGCAGGAGAGCUCCACGCACUCUCACUCCACCGUCGCACCUUGCCCUAUGCAUCUCUUCCAUUUGGCUGUUCCUGAGCUGUAUCCUUUAUAAUAAACCAAUAAAC